rnacentral:rRNA from 1 species
GCUUGUCUCAAAGAUUAAGCCAUGCAUGUCUAAGUAUAAGCACCCUUAUACUGCGAAACUGCGUACAGCUCAUUAUAUCAGCAAUUAUUUAUUUGAAGGUCACCUAUUACAUGGAUAACCGUAGUAAUUCUAGAGCUAAUACAUGCAUGAACCCCCGACUUUUGAAGGGGUGUAUUUAUUAGAUUGAAACCAAUGCGGGUUCCCCGGUAUUUGGUGAUUCAUAAUAACUUUCGGAUCGACUUCGGUCGAUGCAUCAUUCAAGUUUCUGCCCUAUCAGCUUUGGAUGGUAGGGUAUUGGCCUACCAUGGCUUUAACGGGUAACGGAGAAUUAGGGUUCGAUUCCGGAGAGGGAGCCUGAGAAAUGGCUACCACAUCCAAGGAAGGCAGCAGG